GGGGUGGAGGGGAAUGGGGGGUUCUAGGGAGAAUGGGGUUUGUUUACCCGGGAACCAGACUGUAACUCUUGGGGAGAGGGAGCCGAAGGGGGAAGAUGCGGGAGAGAGGGAGAGAGCGAGGCAGCUCGGGGCUCAAAACAGUCAAAUUCAAAUUAAAAGGUCAAGGCACGAUUCAGGAAACGGAAUCUGGAGAAUAACUUGUUUUUCCGGUCGCCCCACAUUUCCUCCUGGAAGAAGCCGCGGAUUUCUGACUUUCCGAAGGGCUGGAGCCUGGCAAGGAAAGGGCUGGAGCUCCCGGCACCCUGACUGCGUGGAGGAGUGAGAAGGCUGGAUCGCUUAUAGGGAGGCCCAAGCCCGCGGCUGCUAGAAGGAGACUUCGGAAAGAAAUCCGGGCAUUCGCUUAUCCAGGAGGCCAGAGAGAAGGCGCAGAGUUCCCUGGACCCGGGAAGAACUGGAAGAACAUCUGUAAUGUGUGGCUUAUUUGCAAGGCCAGCCAGGGGAGAUUUGAAAUGGUUUUGUGUUUUCAUUUGCAGGGGUCGCAGUGGGCUCGGCACAGGGGUUGGCCCGGGCAAGGUUAGGCUGUUUAGGCCCCAGAGGAGACUUGGGACAGCCCAGGCAGCAGUCAAUCCAGGGAACCAUUUGUCCCACCACUCACCCCAAGGGAAACCACAGAGACUUUAUGGCCACUCUGUUUGUAUUAUCUGCAUAAGUCUUUCCCCACCAGUUUGAUCGAAACUGUUCACUUUUAUGAGGACCCAACGAAAAUUCCCCGUCAUAUUUAUCAGCCGGGAAUAAAAAUUUAGUAUGAGAA